AGUUUUAUAGCUUAAUAGGUAAAGCAUGGGCUUCAUAUGCUCAAGUAUACAGGUUCAACUCCUGUUAAAACUA
rnacentral:tRNA from 1 species